GGGAUUAGUCGGAAUGUAAAAGGAACCCUUCAACUUGAUGACCCACGGACAAGACACAGGAGGCAGAAAACAUUCUUCUUUUCAUUAAAAGCACUAUACCUACUGUACCUCCUAGAUAAGGAGACCCUGCAAGUAUCAGCAAUAGAAAAGCUAAAAUCAGGGCGGAGCGUGUAGCUCUCAGUGGUGGAGCACUUGCUUGGCAUCCCUGAGGCCCUGGAUUCGACACCCCACACUACAGAAGUGCUCUCAGGUGCAGUGAUAGCGUGCUGACUCCAGCUCGCUAAACUGACCCCUGGAGAGUCCUCAGUGAGGCAGGGUCCGGGCGUGGCUGACUCCGUGGUUCAACAGCACCUGCAGCCCAGGCUCUCGUCCUUUCAGACUCACCCUCCUGCUGUGCCCCGCAUCAGCUUCAUCAGAGGCUGGUGCCCUUUGUGGUCGUCAGAUGAGCAUCAGCAGAAACAGAGCGACGCCCUUCCCGGUGCGCUCGCAGGGACAGAGCCCGGGAGUUCUACUCCUGCCUGCCUUUCUGACUGAGGCCGCAGUCCUUGACUUCCCUGCGCCCUGACUCACUCUCCCCUGAGAAUUCCUCCCGCUGGCUGUGCUCAGGACCCGCCCCAGAAUGAGGACCGGGCCUGCACCAGAACGAAGCCAGGGAACAGGAAACGUCUGAUCGCCCAAUGGACAGCUCUUGGAAAAGGGUCAAAGGAUAUUUUAAUCCGAAGGAGAAUCCUAAAGGAGAGGAUGUGUCGGGGAUACUUUGGGGGAGAGCUGUCACUGGGUCCACUCCCACUCCCCCUGUCUUAAUGGGUGAAAGGGAGGUGUGAGGCUGUGCCGCCUCCAGCUUUAGUGAGGGGUUCCACAGGGCUACUCAGAGAGCUUAACCCACGAUCCGCACCUAUGAGCGGCGCAGGGCUGGGAUAACGCCUGGAAAUCUCAGCGGGCUCUCUGUGGGUGUAUUGUCAAGCCACAGCGACCUCCGCAUUGCUAAAUGCAAAGGUCAACACGCAGCCUUCUCGUUACACUCCUGCGCGUGAAAGCGGCUGAACAGCGCCUCCACCCGGCUUCCCGGGAACCGUGAACUCCGACCUCCAGCCACACGGUCUCAGGCUCUUGCCCGCACCUCCCAAAUCACAGUCCCUGGGGAACAGGGCACUCCAGGACGCAGCUCUUGGACCUCUUAUUAUCUCUACACUCAUUCCCUCUCCGUGCUGACAACUUCCAAAACCCCAGCUUGGAACACUCUCCUGAACUUUGCAUUCAUAUCCACUGACUUUUGAAAGUCCCCACUUGGAUACCUAACCAUAUUUCAAAAUGUCAAAAACCAGUCUCUGAGUUUUUUCCUCCCCAAACCUGCUGCUCCCUAACUUCCCUGCUCAAGUAAUGGCAUCCUUCCAUCUGAAGAAAAAAGCUAGAAUCGCUGUUUCAUACCCGCUACCUCAUCCACCAGCGAAAGUAUUUUUGCAGUUGGUUCUAUCUUCCAAACACACCCAGAGCAGGUCACUUCUCUCCACCUCAUCCACCUGUCCCCGGGAUUACUCCAAGCGUCCCAACUUCGUCUUUCCUUUUCUGCACAGACAUCUGCCACCAAAAGUCACCCAGCUCGCUCCAGAUGGUGCCAGAAUCUGGCUUUUUAAAGUAGCACUUAUGACACUUUCCUCCACAAACCCCUCCGGGGCGUCUCCAUCUCAUUCAGAGAAAGAGCCAAAGUCCUAACAUUAGCAGAUCAAACCCCAGCACACGCCCACCUCCUCGGUCCCCACUGACCUCUUCUUGUCUCACAUCCUUCACUUGAACAGAUCCUUAUUCUUCUCCAAGCAUGCCGGACGCCGUGCUACCACAGGGCCCUGACACCAGCUGCUCUCCCAGCUUGCAGUAACUUAAGCUUCACAAAGUGCACCUUGCCACUGCGGCAUUUCCUGACCACCCCGACCAAAACCUCAAACAUCACAACCUCCACUUCUGCCCAUAUCUGCCUUCCAUGUACGUAUAUAGCACUUCAAGAGUAUGUUUGCUUCUAAUGUACUUUACCGCUUACUUGUUCAUCUUGUGAUUCUUUCCCCACAAAAACACAGACCCUAUGAAGACAGGCAGUUGUUUGUUUGUGGUUUUUUGUUUUGGGGUGUUUGUUUUGUUCUGUUUUUCUGGUCUGGGCUGUAAAAUGCUGUAACUCCAAUACCUAGAGCAAGGCCUGACACAUAGUAGGUAAACAAUAAAUAUUAGUCAAAUGACGGCA